rnacentral:misc_RNA from 1 species
UAGAUAAAAGCCACAAUGGAGAGGGACAGGAAGAUGAGAACUGAUUGCAAGGUGUACGUGGGCAACCUUGGCAAUACUGAAGCCAAACACGAGCUUGAAUCGGCCUUUUCCAAGUAUGGGCCCCUCGUCAAUGUUUGGGUUGCAAGGAACCCUCCAGGCUUUGCUUUUGUGGAGUUUGAAGACCCACGGGAUGCAGAAGAUGCUGUGCGCUCGCUGAAUGGAACACGUCUGUGUGGUGUCCGUGUUAAGGUGGAGAUGUCAACAGGCCGUUCACGUCGGGACAGGUUCCAUUCUCCUCCGCGGCGUGGGGGUGGCGGUGGCGGGGGUGGUGGCGGAAGAAGAAGGUCAAGGACUAUCUCGCCCAAAUUACCUCUUGUACCACCACCAUCUACUCCUCCUACUGUUGCUACCACACCACCACCACCAACUCCACCACAGCCACCACCACCACAAGUACUUCCACCACCACUGCUAGUGACAGCUUCAGCCUGCUUAUUCAGUGGAAAUCCAGUGUUUGGGUGUGAGGGUACUGGGAUAGGCACACCCUGGUUGCAUCCGUUACUUGCCACCUGAGCCCACACUGGGGACUCAGGCUCACCUAGCCAGCGGAGGAUGACUGUUCCACAAAGCACUGUCAUGCCUCUUCUAUAGGGAAGCCUCGUGCAACAGUGUGGAAGAAGGUGGCGAGCUCUGAUCAGCCAAGGCUUGUGCAGUGGUGGUGGUGUGCGGCACGUUGCCUGAUGGCCAUCCUUCAGCGCCGCACCUCAUGGCACCCGGGCAGUCUAAUACGCUUCACGUGCCCUCUUCUCCCCGCCCGUCUACGCCUGCGCACCAUCAGGCCUGCCCCCCCACUCAUGAUCUGGGUCUCUGACCUUUCAACGCCCGCUCCACUUUCUUACAUUCAUCAUGCCUCCACUCAUCGUUGUGGCUCGCUGCAGUGGUGAUACACUUCUUGUUCGGACCGGUAUCAAUUUCUACAGUCUGUCAGUUUGUGAUGAGCAGUCAAGCGUAGGUCAUUCUCACCUCGCCGCAUGGGUGGCCGAUUCCGCUCAAGGUCUCCAAGGCGGUCGAGGUCACGCUCCCCCAGGUCUGUUUCUCGAUCACCAAGGUAUGAUGAUUAUCGUCGUCGAAGUGAUUCUCCUGAUUUCAAGAAACGCAGCCGAUCUCGAUCAUAGGCUAAGAUCCAGAGAGGAAACUUAAAAUUGAAAAAUGAACAUGUGACACAAGAACAAAAUUAAGACUCUUUGUUUUGUUAAGAGAAGGAUUAGCUCUUAAGAGUUGUGUUGCACAGCUGAAAAUAUUAUAAUUAUUUGAAGAUUGACAGUAAACCUGACUUAUGUCAUGGAAAGUAGUAUUAUCAUGAAAAAAAAAAAUGAUAAUGAAAAAAAGUAAAAUAUCCCAUGAACAUAGUUUUUUUCUGAUUUAUAUAGAUGUAUACUUUCUUUGCUCUAUAAGUGUUGAUCACUGCCUAGUUGGUUAGCUCUAUGUUUCAAAGUAUCUGAAAUGGCAUAAUAGGUUUACUGUUGAUUUGAAGUAUAUUAGAACAAGUAUAAUCAGAAGGGAAAUAUGAAUUACUUGUGGUAUUUUUUCAUGUUAUUGUCCAUUUAAUGCAUGUGUUGUGAAUGGAUGUUAUACAGUCAUGCCAUAUUAUUAUUCAUAAUUUUAGUUAUUCAGUUGAAGUGCCUCAGACAUUUGUGGUAGUACAAACUAUUUGAAAGUUUUUGGUUGACUCCUGAAAGCAUUUUUUUUGUUAUAAUAAAGUUCAACAAUUCUUUCUUUGUAUUUUUAUUUUCUGACCUGUGGAUUUUGCAUCCCAGAAUUAUAAAAAGAAAACUACUUCUGUGGACAAAAACUUUCCUAUAUUUUUUACUCACUGAUGCUAGUUGUAUGGUGUGAGAGGACAAAACCUACAGAAGCUUUGUCAGCCAACUGUGUUAUCUUCUUAACAGUUACUGUAAUUUAUUGCUUUACACACAACCAGAUCAAUCAGGUUACCUAUGUGGCAAAACAAUUAGUGGCUUAAAAAUACAUGAAUGGAUUAUUGGAGGAACUAAUUGUAUUUUUUUGUCAUUUUAUCACUUGUUUGAAAAAUUUCCCCUUACAGAAUGUAUUCACUCUGUAGUUUAUUUGAUGUUCCCUACUGUAUAUCACAAAUAACUUCCUUUUUACACAAAUGUGACUAAUAACAUGAAUUUCAGCUUUUACACUCCAUUCCAUGUAAAGAUCAGCACAAGACAAUUUUUCCUAUUAUUUUUACUACGAAGAAAUUGUUUAUGGGCAGUUCAUAAUUUACAUAAAUAGGGUCACAUAAGGGUGAAAACCUUUAGAUGUAAUUCUAGUUUUACUGGGUUGGUAUAAGUAAUAUAAACUUUGACAAUAGUUACCAAUGGCAGGUAAUUUUCUGCAAGUACAGUAGUAAAAAAAAAAAUCCUCAUCUAUUUCAGAAAUAUUUGGCAUUUUAUUAGGUAUGUGUCUAGUAAAUAUUGUAAGCCAUACCAUGUUUUUUUUCAGAUGCAAUAAAAUACCAUGCACAAGAAGUUUUUGGUAAUGGAGAAAAUAAGCUGGAAUAUUCCCUAUUUCCUCAUGAAAAAGUUGUUCAGUUGGGUAGGUGGUGGUUUCAUCUCAGUGGAGGCUACUGACCUUAUUUCCAGUUUUGAUGCAUAAUUCACUUCCUGACAUGGAGUACUCUGGUUAUAUGAAAUAAUCCAAAGAAACAAAAUUAAGAAAACUACAAGCUUGUAAUUGUUACACUAUUUAAUUAUUUUUGAAUGGGAUUACUUCAGCCACUGUAAGCAAUUUCCCCAAAAAUGAAUAUCAACUAUU